rnacentral:lncRNA from 1 species
GCAUGCCACAGGCACAAGCUAACCGUCGGUUUAUAAUGCCUCUCAUGCGAAGAUGAGAGUGCUAGAUACUGCAGGCAUAAGAUCGCCGCAGGCACAUAAUGUUACUUGUGAGGGAUAAUUAAUCAGACCUCAGAAGGCCGUUGAGAGUGUAUACUACAGGCACAAACUCACCAUCGAUACAUAAUAUCUCUCAUGCGAAGAUAAGAAAUACUAGAUAUCACAGGCAUAUAAAAUUAUCAUAGGCAUAC